rnacentral:lncRNA from 1 species
CUUUUCAUGACUGAGCCUCUGCUAGUUGCCAAGGCUGUUUCUACCAGGAGCUCAGGUGUGAGUCCCACAUGAAUCCUGAGUACUUUCUGUCUCCCCACCUGCCACGUCACCCUCAAUGGUAAUCACAGGAUCGCAGUGUUAGCCUUAGAUUUCAGCAAGGGAUCGUCUCAUCCGACUUUCUCAUUUUCCAGAUGAGCAAAUGGAGGCCUAAGAACAGUUGGAGAUUGGACAGGUCCGCAGAGUGACUUGUCUUAUCUGGAAAUAGGGCUUGAAGACAUGAAUCCAGCAUUCUAGAGGGCAUGGGCAGGUGGGUUGGGCUGCCCUGAUCACAGACUGUUGCCUAGAGGCUGUGAGAGAGGUCAGAGGUGCAUCUCAUGAAUGUCGUGGCUCACCUGUCAACCAGGCUUCACGUCUUAAGGUCAUUAGAGUUAUCAGAAGUCCCAGUGGGCAUCCCUCUG